rnacentral:rRNA from 1 species
CGCGGGCAGGCGGUGGUCCAAGUCGGACGUGAAAGCUCCCGGCUCAACUGGGAGAGGUCGUUCGAAACUGGGCCGCUAGAGGGCAGUAGAGGGGCGUGGAUUCCGGGUGGAGUGUGAAAUGCGUAGAGAUCCGGAGAACCACCAGAGGCGAAGGCGGCCGCCCUGGGGCUGCCACCUGGACGCUGA